rnacentral:rRNA from 1 species
UACGGAGGGGGCUAGCGUUGUUCGGAAUUAUUGGGCGUAAAGAGCUCGUAGGCGGUUUGUUGCGUCGGCUGUGAAAUCCCGAGGCUCAACCUCGGGUCUGCAGUCGAUACGAGCAAACUAGAGUGUUGCAGGGGAGACUGGAAUUCCUGGUGUAGCGGUGAAAUGCGCAGAUAUCAGGAAGAACACCAAUGGCGAAAGCAGCUCUCUGGGACGGUACUGACGCUGAGACGCGAAAGCGUGGGGAGCGAACAGG